rnacentral:rRNA from 1 species
CCUACGGGAGACAGCAGUGAGGAAUAUUGGUCAAUGGGCGCGAGCCUGAACCAGCCAAGUAGCGUGAAGGAUGACUGCUCUACGGGUUGUAAACUUCUUUUAUAAAGGAAUAAAGGUAGCCACGUGUGCAUAUUUGUAUGUACUUUAUGAAUAAGCAUCGGCUAACUCCGUGCCAGCAGCCGCGGUAAUACGGAGGAUCCGAGCGUUAUCCGGAUUUAUUGGGUUUAAAGGGUGCGUAGAUGGGUUGUUAAGUCAGUUGUGAAAGUUUGCGGCUCAACCGUAAAAUUGCCAUUGAUACUGGCAGCCUUGAGUGCGGUUGAGGUAGGCGGAAUGCGUGGUGUAGCGGUGAAAUGCUUAGAUAUCACGAAGAACUCCGAUUGCGAAGGCAGCCUACUAAGCUACAACUGACAUUGAAGCUCGAAAGUGUGGGUAUCAAACAGGAUUAGAUACCCUUGUAGUC